rnacentral:rRNA from 1 species
GACGAACGCUGGCGGCGUGCUUAACACAUGCAAGUCGAACGGAAAGACCUCUUUCGGGGGGUACUCGCGUGACGAACGGACGAGUAACACGUAAGUAACCUGCCCAUCUCUAUGGGAUAACUUCAGUCAACAAAGGCUAAUACCUGAUAGAAGCUCCUGCUACCUGGUGGGGUUAGGAAAGAAUCGGGGUUUUGGGAUGGACUCGCGGCGUAUCAGCUUGUUAGUGGGGUAAUGGCUUACCAAGGCUUUGCCGGGAAGACGGCCUGUGAGAGUGAGCGGCCACCCUGGGUCUGAGAUACGGCCGAGACUCCUACGGGAGGCAGCAGUGGGGAAUAUUGACCAAGGGGUGGCAGCCUGAUGCAGAACCGCCGUGUGCGGGAUGACUGUCUUCGGGUUGUAAACCGAUUUCGCUCAUGACGAAGCUUUGUGUGACGGUAGUGGGUAAAGAAGCACCGGCUAACUACGUG